rnacentral:miRNA from 12 species
GGGCCUGAACUGUUGCUCUUACCU